UUUGACCUGCUAGCAAAUGAUUAAUUCAGAAUUUAUUUAAAAAAAGCCAAAUCUUUAAUCCUCCAAUGCUUUUCCUAAUAUGCCAAACAAACUUUGGAGACUUGUAGUUCUUUUCAUCAAUCAUACGGUAAUGAAGCUUUGCACAGAACAGCAAUGCAACAAAGUCUGCUCUCCCAAGUCCAGAGAAUUCAAUGCUCCCCAUG
rnacentral:lncRNA from 1 species